rnacentral:rRNA from 1 species
CGCGGUAUUUUGACCGUGCAAAGGUAGCAUAAUCAUUAGUCUUUUAAUUGAAGGCUAGAAUGAAAGGUUGGACGAGAAGUUAGCUGUCUUUAUUAGAAAAGUAGAAUUUAACUUUCAAGUGAAAAGGCUUGAAUAUUCUGGGGGGACGAUAAGACCCUAUAAAGUUUGACAUUUAUAUUUAUUAUAAAAUGAAGUGGAGGUAUAAAAUUUAUUAGUAAUAUAUUGUUUUGUUGGGGCGACAAGAAUAUAAAUAAUUUAACUGUUUUAUACUAAAACAAUGAUAUUUGAAGGAGCUUGAUCUUUAUUAAAGGUAGAAGAGUAAAUUACUUUAGGGAUAACAGCGUUAUUUUUUUUGAGAGUUCUUAUCGACAAAAAAGUUUGCGACCUCGAUGUUGAAUUAAGAUUUCUUUAUAGCGUAGGGGUUAUAGAAGAAGGUCUGUUCGACCUUUAA